rnacentral:rRNA from 1 species
AUGCAGCCAUGCCGCGUGUAUGAAGAAGGCCUUCGGGUUGUAAAGUACUUUCAGCGGGGAGGAAGGGAGUAAAGUUAAUACCUUUGCUCAUUGACGUUACCCGCAGAAGAAGCACCGGCUAACUCCGUGCCAGCAGCCGCGGUAAUACGGAGGGUGCAAGCGUUAAUCGGAAUUACUGGGCGUAAAGCGCACGCAGGCGGUUUGUUAAGUCAGAUGUGAAAUCCCCGGGCUCAACCUGGGAACUGCAUCUGAUACUGGCAAGCUUGAGUCUCGUAGAGGGGGGUAGAAUUCCAGGUGUAGCGGUGAAAUGCGUAGAGAUCUGGAGGAAUACCGGUGGCGAAGGCGGCCCCCUGGACGAAGACUGACGCUCAGGUGCGAAAGCGUGGGGAGCAAACAGGAUUAGAUACCCUG